UGUCUGCUCUUACACAGGGCUCUCAACUACUUUCAUGGAAGAGCAAGAAGUUUACAGAUCACACAACAAAGUGCUGUCUGGAGUGAGACAAUAACAUGCAAAUCAAACCAAACUUUACAACAUGCAAUACUUCAAGGUAGCUUCAGGAGGAGCAGGGCAGGGUGAGGAUGGAGGCACAAGGCUGGGCAAAGUUCUCACAUAAAACCUUUAAGCUGUUUGGAGGCUGUGCAGCACAACUAAUACAGGCAAGAGUAUCGCCCAUGGACUGGAGUAAAACCAUCCAAGCCUAUAAAGACAAAGCAAGGCUUCAUUAUCCCAGAAGACCAUUUUGUUAAAGAGACAAGCUACAAGGCAGACUUUAAGAUCCCAGAGGUGAAGACGAGGUUCUCCCCCAACCCUUCUGCUGUUUUCCAGGCGCCAUCACGGAUCCUCAACGUGUGAACCCGGACCCUCCUCACACCCAGGCAGCUCAGACACGGAGUUAGAUGUAUCUAUGCAAUUUUCAUGAGGAGCGUUAAGAUCAAAGAGCCGGUGUUACCAACAGCAGCCCCAGUGAUUAAUGGCAUGCACACAAACUUUCUGUUAACACAACAAACCACAAAGCGCUUGGUUCAGAGCUGGCAAACCAUGCUGUGAGGAGUGACCUAGUUUUACGCGGGAGCAGGUUCAUUACUCUGCCAGCUGGCCUCACAUUAGGAGAUUGACUUCAGGCACCAAGUAUAGCAGGCAACAUCCCUGUGCUCAAAUACACAGGGUGGGAGGGGAAAGCAGUCACAAAUGGGAUGGAUAAUUAAAACCAAAAAGAGUUUCAUUUAGCAGCAUCCUCUAAGUAAACAAGUGAAAGACAGGGAGCAUCUGGCUGACUUCUGAGCUUCUUGAGGGGUUUUGGAAACAGGACCUGAAAUGGCUGCACCAGAAAACAGCACCAAAAGGGCUGGUGUGAAC
rnacentral:lncRNA from 14 species